rnacentral:rRNA from 1 species
AGAGUUUGAUCAUGGCUCAGGAUGAACGCUGGCGGCGUGCUUAACACAUGCAAGUCGAACGAAGCACUUUAACCUGAUUCUUCGGAUGAAGGUUUUUGUGACUGAGUGGCGGACGGGUGAGUAACGCGUGGGUAACCUGCCUCAUACAGGGGGAUAACAGUUAGAAAUGACUGCUAAUACCGCAUAAGACCACAGAGCCGCAUGGCUCGGUGGGAAAAACUCCGGUGGUAUGAGAUGGACCCGCGUCUGAUUAGGUAGUUGGUGGGGUAACGGCCUACCAAGCCAACGAUCAGUAGCCGACCUGAGAGGGUGACCGGCCACAUUGGGACUGAGACACGGCCCAAACUCCUACGGGAGGCAGCAGUGGGGAAUAUUGCACAAUGGGGGAAACCCUGAUGCAGCGACGCCGCGUGAGCGAAGAAGUAUUUCGGUAUGUAAAGCUCUAUCAGCAGGGAAGAAAAUGACGGUACCUGACUAAGAAGCACCGGCUAAAUACGUGCCAGCAGCCGCGGUAAUACGUAUGGUGCAAGCGUUAUCCGGAUUUACUGGGUGUAAAGGGAGCGUAGACGGCUGUGUAAGUCUGAAGUGAAAGCCCGGGGCUCAACCCCGGGACUGCUUUGGAAACUAUGCAGCUAGAGUGUCGGAGAGGUAAGUGGAAUUCCCAGUGUAGCGGUGAAAUGCGUAGAUAUUGGGAGGAACACCAGUGGCGAAGGCGGCUUACUGGACGAUGACUGACGUUGAGGCUCGAAAGCGUGGGGAGCAAACAGGAUUAGAUACCCUGGUAGUCCACGCCGUAAACGAUGACUACUAGGUGUCGGGGAGCAAAGCUCUUCGGUGCCGCAGCAAACGCAAUAAGUAGUCCACCUGGGGAGUACGUUCGCAAGAAUGAAACUCAAAGGAAUUGACGGGGAGCCGCACAAGCGGUGGAGCAUGUGGUUUAAUUCGAAGCAACGCGAAGAACCUUACCUGCUCUUGACAUCCCGGUGUCCGGCAUGUAAUGAUGCCUUUUCUUCGGAACACCGGUGACAGGUGGUGCAUGGUUGUCGUCAGCUCGUGUCGUGAGAUGUUGGGUUAAGUCCCGCAACGAGCGCAACCCUUAUCUUCAGUAGCCAGCAUUUUGGAUGGGCACUCUGGAGAGACUGCCAGGGAUAACCUGGAGGAAGGUGGGGAUGACGUCAAAUCAUCAUGCCCCUUAUGAGCAGGGCUACACACGUGCU